GAAGGAGCUGCUCUCGCUACAGGAAGUUCAGCCACAUGCUCAGCGCCUUCGCACACCAGUCCUGCCCGUGCCCGCCCCCACACCAGACUCCUAGGCCCUCCCAGCCAUCCUCUGUCCCGCCUAAGCCACACAGGAAGGUCUCUGCCGUCGAUCCCAGGAGGCAUCUUGAGGGCCCAAUGCCAAGAGAUUUGGCCACUCGUGUCUCUUCAAGGCCAACUGGGUCCCUGCCCUGCUCAGGUCCAGGUCCCAAGCUGAGCAAACUGCCUCCUUCACCUCAUCCGUUUCCCCAGCAACCAACUCCUACUCAAAGUCCUCAUCCCGCCACCCUGCACAGCCCGGCUCAGAGAACAUACCCAGACUCUGACUGACCACCCAGAAGCUUAUCCCAAGCCCCACAAGUCCCCGACCUCAAGCAGGGGACUAUGUACUCCAGCAGGGAUGGAGCUUCAGAAGGAGGCUAGGGGAAACCUCUUAGGAAAACCGAUGGAGAGCAAAGCAGGCGCAGAUGCCCAGCGCUGUCAGAGAACCUUCACCGAUCAGCCACCUGACACAGCUCUCUGCUUCCAGAGCUGACAGGACAACUUGAUCCCAUUAUCCAGAUAAGGAAAUGGAAACCUGGAGUGGCUGGGCAAGCUGCCCAAGGUCAUUCAGCUAGUAAAGGGCACCAGGCAGCAGCAGCGCUCUAGGCGGCAGGCCACUCCCUAAAACUACACUGCCACUCCCUUCUGGAGAUAUGGGGCAAGCGGUGUGGCUCUCCGGAGCUGAUUUUCAAAGUUAUCGUUUUUUUUAGAACAAUCCAGACUGCAGUCUGGUUGCUGAGCCCCACAAAGGCAAACUUCCACCUGCCACCUCUUGUGAUGAUAUCUGGCCUGAACCCCAAUCAUCUCCACUCCCUCUAGCACCUGCUUCACUGACCAAACAUAGUAAUUACACGGCUUUGCUUCCAGCUUCCGAGGCGAGCCCAGGCAGCCCUUUGGCUCUGGCAGUGGUGAAUCUGAGGUCAUCCUGCCUUCACAGGACCGCGGUUCUGGGGCAUAGGACAACUACAGCCAAACAAGCACUCUAGGCUCCAGAAAGGCCUUAGAUCCUGUUCAAUGCAAGAUGGUGACAUUGUCCCUGUCCCUGCUAUUCAAGGCAAAAUGAUUGAACUCUCCUUCCUGAAAGGCCACCUCCUGGCAGGCUAGAGGAAUGCUGUCACCAGGGUGACAGCCCUAACCUCUGAACUCAGGACUUAGUACUGAAAUGAAGCAAAGUCAAGAUCUUGAUACACGGCCUAGAGAGAUGACUCAAUUGGUAAAGUACUUGGUGUGCUAACUAGGUAGACCUGAGCCUAAUUCCUAGUACCCAGGUAAAAAGUCGGGCAUGGCGGCAAUGCUUGUUGUGAUCUCAGCACUGAGGAGGCUGAGGAUCCCUAGGGCUCACUGACUGGCCAGCCCAGCUUAAUCAGCAGUCUUGGACCCUUGUGACAGUGCCUGCCAAUGGCUCCUGGGUUUGACCUCUGGCCUCCACAUGCAUGCACACCCACACCCACACAAACAGGCACAUAAGAUCUUGACAGAAGGAAUUCAAAACACUGCCACUGUUAUUAAUGCCAUCACCUUUUCCUUUCUUGCUCCUUCCCCUGAGGCUUGGGUAACUGUGUCCUUCUUGACACUGUAUUUUCAGAGAGGAAUAAAAGCACAGGCACAGUUUGGCACUGACCACACAGACAUCACUAGAGCUCUGUGGACAAGAUCAAAGAGCUCCCGGCCCAUGUGCAUAUGCCCACACAGGUGACUCAUCUCUCCAGGUCCCUUCCUCAGUGGCUUGUUUUCAAAACCAUACAAAAAAAACCAGAGUCAUUCUCCUUAGCCACUCUGCCAAAGUUCCAUCAAGUUUCUGUCGCCUGACAGGUCCUGGAUCUGAUGCUGGGCCCACAGAAAUAGACCAAGUCCAGCCCUGCCCCUAAUAAAGUCACCAUUUAGCAGAGACAAAUUCCCUCUACCCUAAUGUGCCCACUAAAAGCUUUUAGACACUUACUGUUGAAUCACUAUCAGGAUUCUCCCCAGCAGAACCAGCUGCCCACAGGCCCCAGGAGGGAGAGGAAGGGGUGCCUUCCAUCAGAAGUUCUGAGCCUGAUGGGAGCCCCUCUCCCCAAAGGCCCAAGUACCUACUUUAAGAAUCACCUUCUUCUCACUAAUGGAGGGAAGCAGCACAGAAAGAAACCUGAGCGAAGACGGGAAAGGCCACUCUCAAGGAAGUUCACGGGUAUUCUGUAGGCUCAGUUACCCACGAGGUGAGCCUUACAGGCCACGUGGCAAGGCUGCCUUCAACCUUCCAGACCAGCUCUAUGGCAGGUGUGUGAGGGCCUAAAGGUAGCCCCCACCGGCUCCUGUACAGAGAUUCAUCUCCCAGGCUUCUUGGAGAAGUAGUUGCUUUAUGCCAGCUUCCAUUUCUAGCCCAGAGUGUGCAGGCCAACAGAGAAGAAUGGAUUAAACAACAGAGACCUCUAUGUGGUUCAGAGAUGGCAUCUUGCACUGUCUUUCAGCAUGCAGGCCAAGAAACGGAUUCCCCGAGGAGUGAUGUAAAUUGCUCACAGCCGGGCAGAGAGCAGACCGAGCAGAGCAAGACAGAGAGUGCCCAGGGCUGGGUGGGGAAGACAUGCCAUCUGCCGCCCACUGCCGCCCACUGCCGCCCACUGCCGCCCACUGCCGCCCAC